rnacentral:rRNA from 1 species
AGCAGCCGCGGUAAUUCCAGCUCCAAUAGCGUAUAUUAAAGUUGUUGCAGUUAAAAAGCUCGUAGUUGAAUUUCGGGAUCAAUAUGUUGGUCGUGCCUCGGUACGUACUAGCAUAUUGGUUUCUCCUUUCUGAAGAACCAUGAUGUCAUUUAUUUGGUGUCGUGGGGAAUCAGGACUGUUACUUUGAAAAAAUUAGAGUGUUUAAAGCAGGCUCACGCUUGAAUACAUUAGCAUGGAAUAAUGAAAUAGGACGUUUGAUUCUAUUUUGUUGGUUUCUAGGAUCGACGUAAUGAUUAAUAGGGAUAGUUGGGGGCAUUAGUAUUCAAUUGUCAGAGGUGAAAUUCUUGGAUUUAUUGAAGACUAACUACUGCGAAAGCAUUUGCCAAGGAUGUUUUCAUUAAUCAAGAACGAAAGUUAGGGGAUCGAAGACGAUCAGAUACCGUCGUAGUCUUAACCAUAAACUAUGCCGACUAGGGAUCGGAUGAUGUUAAUUUUUUAAUGUACUCA